rnacentral:misc_RNA from 1 species
GCCGUUGGUUGGUCUGGCCCCAAAAUUCAAAAUUUUCGACCGUUAUAGAUCCCCUUUUCUCUUCUUCUCUACCUUCAUUUACUACCAAAGAUACUCUCUUCUUCGCCUAACCUAAUCAGCGAAAAGCCCAAGUACUCCUUACUUCCCAAUUCCACCCUCUAUCUCUAAUCGGAAUUAAUUUCCUAUGGCGGUGGCCAGAGAACCCAGCGGCGCAGACGUCAUAGCAAUGACAAUGAUAGACGAGACCUAUGAGUUUUCAGCACCAAGAUUCUACGAUUUCAUAAAGGGUGAAUCAGAGGAAGAUAAGCGUAAAGCCGAACUCUGGUUUGACACCGCUCUCAGCUACGCCCCUUCCCCUUUUAUGCCGAGAAUUAAGACAGGAAGAUCAUUUAAGGUUGAGAGCUUAUGUGAUUUUAGUGAAGCGGACCAAAUGCCAAAGGUCACAGAAUCAUCAGAUUCAGCAGCUGCUAGUUCUUCCUCAGAGAUUAAAUCUCAAUCAGAGGUCAUGCCACCUACUGAAACUAGGGAAGAAGAAACAACACUUUAUGAGGCAAACAAAGAAAACAAUGCAAACCUUGUUGUCAAUGGUUCUUGUCAGCAGGAUAAGGAAACCAUAUGCAGUGAAGAAACCAAAAGAAGCUCUACUUCUAUCCAAAUUGAACCUGCUGCCCAUGGUAGAGAGAACAGUAAAACUGAAACUUGCUGCACCCCUAAGCCGCCACAGAUGUCUUCUCAAAAGGAAGGUCGACUCAAUUCCAAGAAGCACCAAUCAGCUAAACACAUAGCUAGUUUGGUAAGGAAUCCAUCAGCACUGAAGAUGAAGAGUCAACCACUGUCCUCACAAGUUAAAGGCUCUAGACCAGAAAGUGUCAGAAGAGAUGCAAAUGUAAAAAAUGCAUCUGGGACUCCCAAUUUAGCUCAAGAGAACCAGGCCAUUAAACGCCAGAAGCUGGAAGGAGGAAGAUCCAGACAGAUUCUUAAUGUUAAACCCCCACAACCAUUGCAUCACAAGUCAAAACUGGGUCUCAGAAGUGGCCAUUCCAUUUCAUCUGUUGCUAAUAAAAUGCAGAAAGAAGGGAGAAAGGUUUACGUUCGGGAAUCAGCAGCACCAACACCAUUUGUUUCAAUGGCAGAGAUGAUGAAAAAGUUCCAAUCAAGUACUAGAGACUUAUCAUUGCCACGGAAUAAAAGUUCUCUCUCACAGGGUGAUGCUGCUUCUGUUAUCCAGAGGAAACCUCAACUCACAUUGACAAGGCCUAAGGAGCCUGAACUUGAAACAGCUCAACGUGUUCGCUCAGUCAGAAUAAAAAGUACUGCAGAGCUUGAAGAAGAGAUGAUGGCCAAAAUUCCAAAGUUCAAAGCUAGACCUCUAAACAAGAAGAUUUUGGAGGCUCCAACACUGCCUGCAUUACCAAGAAGUACACCACAACCACCUGAAUUUCAGGAAUUUCAUCUUGAAACAACAGCAAGGGCCACUCAGAAUGCAGAAUCAGCUUCCGUGGCCUCAACAGAGGUGUCCCAUCAGAAUAAUCAGUGGAAGCCUCACCUUACUGAACCUAAAACUCCUCUUCUUCACACUAAUUUGAGGGCCCGGCCACCAAAGGUGAAAAGUUCUUUGGAGCUUGAGAAGGAGGAACUUGAAAAAAUCCCUAAAUUUAAGGCUAGGCCUUUGAAUAAGAAGAUAUUUGAAAGUAAAGGAGAACUGGGGAUUUUCUGCAAUGCAAAGAAACAAGUCACUAUACCUCAAGAAUUUCACUUUGCCACAAAUGAGAGGAUUCCGCCACCAGCUGAUUUUGCUGAUAUGUUUGACAAGCUUUCAUUAAACUUGGAACCCCGCAUUGACAAUCCAGUUCCAAGAAACACACUACCAAAUCCAUUCCAUCUCCACACUGAGGAAAGGGGGGCUGAGAAGGAUAGGAAAUUUGUAAUGGACCUGAUGCAGAAGCAGCUGGAUGAGGAAAGAGCCAGGAUUCCGAAGGCUAAUCCAUAUCCUUAUACUACUGACUAUCCUGUGAUUCCUCCUAAACCGGAGUCAAAACCAUGCACAAAACCAGAACCUUUCCAGUUGGAGAGUCUAGUGAGACAUGAGGAGGAAAUGCGAAGGGAAAUGGAUGAAAGACAGAGGAUUGAGAAAGAAGAGGCCAAUACGAGGAUAUUCAGAGCACAGCCAGUCAUAAAAGAGGACCCAAUGCCACUACCAGAGAAAGUGCGGAAACCCCUUACACAAGUUCAACAAUUUAAUCUCCACACGGAUCACAGGGCUGUUGAUAGAGCAGAAUUUGAUCAACAGGUGAAGGAGAAAGAACAAUUAUACAAGAGAUACAGAGAGGAAAGUGAAGCUGCAAGAAUGGUAGAGGAAGAGAAGGCACUAAAACAAUUGAGGAGAACAAUGGUUCCUCAUGCAAGGACUGUGCCAAGCUUUGACCAUCCAUUCUGCCCCAAGAAAUCUUCCAAGGAAACCACAAAAGCAAAAUCACCAAAUUUGCGGGUGCUUCGAAGGAGGGAAAGGCAGAAGAUGAUAAAUAAUGCAGUUUCCAGCCCCGCUUCAUGGAUGAGGUGAUUGAUGGGCUGCUGUUCAAGAACUCUUGAACUUCCUUUCCUCCGGAUUUGUUGUAGUUGUUUCAGAAUGGAAAGCAAUUUACUGAGUGAUGAAAAAUAUGCAAAAUUUGCUCGCAGUAGCAACUGUUAUUAGAAGAUAAAGUGUUGUAGUCUUAACUUUCUGUGCAUUAAUGAAACUUCUUGUCAAUUUAUUUAUUCCCGAAAUUCUCCCCUGCUCAGAGUUAAUUACCAAAUUAAAUUGCCCCAAGUCUGAAAAUUGCAGCUUUUCAAGGAAGGAAAGGCACAGUCGUCUGAGAAUGGAAAGCAAGUAAUGUACGCUAGCAAAAUCAGAAUAUGCACGCUAGCAAAAUUUAUCAGAAUAUGUGUCGUCAUCCUCAAAUUUCUUAUGGCUGUAGGGGGCAAGAAUGCAUCAAUGAAGAAAAUUGUUGGGAAGGUACAUUGUAAAUCUGUUCCUGAAAUUCUCUCCCAGAGUCUCAAUUACCAAAGUUGCCCUAAAGAUACAAGAAUUCAGAAAAAAUUUUAGCUGGAAUAAAUGAUCCUGUGAGAAACUGUUUUUUUUGGGUUAAAAAAACAAUACACAAUCCAGGUCUUAGGUUUUAGGAAAAGCUUUCCAUUGUCAAGGAGCUCAAAUCUCAUUUCGAAAUCUCAACAGAUAUUUACAUGCAACUACAAACUGUUAAUGGACCUUUUCUUCCUCCUACAAAAACAUCACAAAUUUGCUAAGCAGUCUCCUUCUUCCGAUAUGCUAGAAUCAAAUGAUCUCUACUGGAAGUGCAAUUGGCUUUAAGAUGUGCCAAAGUUUCCUGCCCUUUCAAAAUUUGCAGUUCAUCCACUGAAAUUGGUGGAUGCAGAGAGGAUAGGUUGUCAUUAGGGUUGUGCUGCCCUUUAACUAAAAAUAUUUCAACUUCUUCAGGCUCCAAAGCCUUUUUGCGAGCAAUAUACUGCAUGAUAUCAUAUAGAAAAGCAAGCAGCAAAUACAAUGUCAAAAUAUGCACACAAAUUGAUGCUUUAUAUUAAUGAUCUUUCCAAACCCCAAAGAAAAAGAAAAUAAAAUGCACGCGCCAAUUUAAGUUUUAAACACCUAAAAUGUCAUGCCAUCAACUCCUGAAUAUAACAUAUUAUCUUUUUAAAACAUUCUUAACACAUUUUCUUUGACAAAUGCUGGAAUCAGACAAACUUUGGGUUGAUGGAUAUGAGCAAAUGGUAGUCUAAUAUGUAAUCAUAUUCCAUAAUCCAUCUAGCCAGGGUGGAUAUCAAGGCAAAUUUUCAAAUUUUAUUUCUCUACAAUAACACAUUCCAAGAAUUAAGGUGGUGCGAAAGAAAUCUCACUUCGCAUAGGUGUUUGACUGACAAACUGGGGCGACAGCAAAGGUAGGGCUGUUUCAAAUUCAUAAAACUUUCAUUGUCCAUGGAAAUAAGCAUGAGGUGAACAUCCAACUCAUCAUUAUUUUCCUCUAAGCUCCUGAGAUAUUCUACCAGCUUGGAUAAGCGAGUGCUUCUGGCAUUCUUGUUGUUGCAACUGCUAGCAUUACCAUGCCGUGUAUGACUUCGAGCACCACCCCUGCCCCAGGCAAGCAUUUCUGUAUUCCAAACAAGCCCAGGAGAUAUUCCUCUGUUCUCUCUGGUGGCUUCUAAAUCAUUUUCAAUGCAUCCAGCCUCUGGAUUUGAAGCCGACGAAGAAGGCUGACAAGGCCUAAUUCCUGGCCGUCUCUUGCGCCUGCGCUGCCUUACUUCUGUGGAGCGAUCAUCAGUAGAAGAUGAAUCCUUACCUCCAUUAUCAUCAUUUUCAUCCUCAAUGUCUUCUGAUCCUUGAAAUUCAGUGCCUCGGCUGUUUCGCCUCCUCCUUGAAGGAAUUGUCCGAUGAAUGCGCUGUGAUCUUUCCAUGAACGGACCAGUUGUUUCUUUACCCAUUGUGCGUCUCCUAACUAGUGCUUCAGAUUGUCGUUGAAAUAUUUGGGCAAUUGAAGCUUGGAUCUGCUUGUUUCGUGUCCUUUCCUCCUCAUGAAAAGCCAAUUCCUCCUCCUCAUACUUAUCAAUGUCUGGAUAUAGAGCAGCAAUUAAGGCAUCAUAAUUUGGAUCAUCUCUCAAAGAACGCCGACUUGCACAGUGUGUGCGGCAAGCAGGGCACUCAUUAUUCCCAAGUCGCAUUGAUUUGUCAAUGCAUUCCCUGCAAAAACGGUGCAGACAUUCCAUCACUGUUCGUGUUUUUUUUAUGAUACCUAGACAUAUUGGGCAUUGUACAUCUUUACGAAUGUCUGGCAAAUCCACAAAGACAAAUCUGCAAAUGAAACUAAAAAUUUUAAUUAGCUUUCUACGCCUAAUCACUGAUAAAUAUAAGCACUUAAAUAUAUUGAUGAAUAAAGCACACACAAUCUAUUGCCACUAGGGCAGUACAUGUUUCUGCAAGUUGCAUGUUUGCAUACAGAACAUAGUAAAUAAUUGGUUUGCUUUGCUCUACUUAAUAGCAUGAAUGCUUCAAACAAUUAUUCCCAUGCCUACAACUCAAGAGGAAAAAGCAAAUAAAAAAUUAUGAGGAUAUGAUACUUGUUUUCUCUUUUGAAGACACUAAAUUUUAAAACAAAAAAUUUCUCCACACUGAGCAGUUUAAACAGGAUCAACAUGCCAAAGUGCAUGCUUAAAUUAACAGAUCAUAUGAAAAUAGAGGAAGCAAGACUUGAACAAAUUUAAUAUAACAUGUCAGUAAAAAGGAUGUGAAGGGUAAGGUAGUUGAGAUGAGAAGCUUACAGUUUAGAAGAAAAGAUAGGAGAAGGAAAGUGAUAAUAAAACACAAACUGUAAUAAACUCAGACGAAUUAGCAAAUGAAUGAUUUCCAAAAAAAAAAAAAAAAUGAGGGCGUCCUUUGAGGAAUUUGUUAUGGUUUCAUGGUUAGAUCUAAAAUGCUAUAUUCAAGAAAAUGCUGAGCAGAUACUUUAUAGAACAGGCACAGAAAUUUAUCACGGACAUGGAUUAGGGAACCUUGCAUGAACAUUGUUGAUAUCCUCAAUUAUUUCUGGUGUCAGCUCAACCUUGCAACCAUUGAGAGUCUCCUGGAGCUGCCAUGACCUGGUAGCUCCAAAUAUAGUGCUUGCAACAAGAGGGUGUCUCAAAACAAAAGCAAUUGCAAGAGAUACAGGAUGAAGACCAUGUUUUCUUGCAAUAUCAAGGUAUCCCAUAGUAGCUGCUUUUACCAUGUUAUUUGAUAGGUUGUAUCUUGAUUCCCCUUCUGAAUAUCUUCCUUUGAAAAGAUUUAACCGGGCAUUUACUGGACCUCCAUUAGGUGCAAAAUACUUCCCAGAAAGUAUGCCCAUUGCAAGGGGGCUGUAUGCCAAUAAACUGAUCCUGAAGAAUUCAAGAAUACAAUGAAAGUCCAAUUAUUAGAAUGAGGGGAUCUCUGGAAACCAUUUUCAAUAACAAAACCCACACAAUGUUAGAUCACAUACAGCAGAUUCUACUGAACAAAAAUUGUGCUAAAGCUACUUCCCAUUGAACUCCACCCAUAAUAAAAGAAAAACCAUGUCUUAACUUGGAAUUGUAGUUUUGCUUCCUAAUGUUUGUUUGAAACAAGUUGGACCACCAAUUGCUAUGAAAAAUAAACAACAAAGAGUAUCAAAUGUAAUGAAAAUUUCCCUUGUUUCAGGAUCAUCACAAGAAAUUCCUUUACUAGAACAAUGAUGAUGUUCUCCAUACAAUGCAGAUGAAACUUUUCCCUACAUUUUAAUUCUAACCUUAGUAUGUAUUCACAGGAACACAACAUACCCCUCAUGAUGACAGCACUCAGCUAGUGCAGAAUCAAAAGUCCAGCAGAGCAAGCUGUACGAGUUCUAUCAUUAAGACAAUAGAUUGUGCAUUAGCCUCAGCAUGAAUAAUGCACAUGUGCGCACAUGACCACAAACAAACACACAGAGGAGAGGGGCAGUUGAACAAGGACAAGAGCAGCAAGCAUCACUCGCUGAGAAGGAACAACUGAUACUACCUGCACAGAAACUAUUUUCGGAUACCAAGUUGCCCUUUCAGCAAGCUGAAGGAACUUCAUGAUACCAUAUGGUGUUUCAUUACUAAGUCCAAUGUAUCUGACCUUGCCAGCAUCAACAGCUCGGCCAAGCGCAUCAAGUUGUUCCUCUAUACUGAUUGAACAGAACUGUUGGGUAGGAUGAUAUUCUGUUUCUCCAAACAUUGGAACAUAGCUACAGAAACAACCAUAAUUCACUUCAAAAAGACAGCAUAGAGUGGGAACUUUAAAAAAGUAGAGAGACUAUUUGCAGGAACUACAAUUAUGUUCACUGGUAACAUCUACUCUGCUUUCAAUAAUACACCACUCCACCUUACUGCCACCUCCCAUCCACAACCAAAAAACUAAUGAGUUACGGAAGAAAGAAAAAGGAGCAGGAUCUACAUACAAACCGAUCAGGCCAGUGAAUUUGAUAGAGAUCAAUGUAGUCCAUUUGCAUUCGUUGCAAACUAUUGUCAAUGGCCUCAGUAAUAUUCUUGGCAUCCAAAUGCUUAGGUCCGCCUCGGAUCCAAAUCAUUUGUCCUGACGGUCCAGUAACCUUGGUUGCUAAGACAACCCGGUCCCGUGGAAUCUUCCUUUCUCUAAUCCAACGGCCAAGGUACUCCUCGCUCCUCCCCUGAGUCUCAGCACGUUGAGGCACGGGAUACAUUUCUGCUGAAUCGAAGAAGUUGAUUCCGGCAUGGAAGACUUCAUCUAGAAGGCGAAAGGAUUGAGGCAACGAGUUUUGCUCACCAAAUGUCAUUGUUCCUAAGCAAAGCCUUGAAACUGUCAAAUUAGGAGCGAGGUUGAAGAAAGGAACAGACAUUUCAACUGUGAUGGCUGGAAAUUCACUACGUUCUGCUGGUAGCAAGUCUCUGCUAUUGUGGAUAGAAUC